CCUACGGGUGGCAGCAGUGAGGAAUAUUGGUCAAUGGACGCGAGUCUGAACCAGCCAAGUAGCGUGAAGGAUGACUGCCCUAUGGGUUGUACACUUCUUUUAUAUGGGACUAAACUGUUCCACGUGUGGGAUUUUGUAUGUACCAUAUGAAUAAGGAUCGGCUAACUCCGUGCCAGCAGCCGCGGUAAUACGGAGGAUCCGCGCGUUAUCCGGAUUUAUUGGGGUUAAAGGGAGCGUAGGUGGAUUGUUAAGUCAGUUGUGAAAGUUUGCGGCUCAACCGUAGAAUUGCAGUUGAAACUGGCAGUCUUGAGUACAGUAGAGGUGGGCGGAAUGCGUGGUGUAGCGGUGAAAUGCUUAGAUAUCACGAAGAACUCCGAUUGCGAAGGCAGUUCACUGGACUGCAACUGACACUGAGGCUCGAAAGUGUGGGUAUCAAACAGGAUUAGAUACCCCAGUAGUC
rnacentral:rRNA from 1 species